UCGCUAUCUUAACGGAAUUCCUGUGCAGUACGAGAGGAACCACAGGUACGGACCACUGGCUCAAUACUAGUUCGAACGGACUAUGGUAUGACGCUACGUCCGCUGGAUUAUGCCUGAACGCCUCUAAGGUCGUAUCCAAUCCGAGCUGAUAGCGCUUCUUAUACCCAUUAGGUGGUCGUAAGCUAGCGGGCCUAACAACCCUCCGAGAACCGUCCGUGCUGUCCAUUGGCACACUGGCGUCUCAUCCCCGCUUACUACUAGGCCGCAAAGGGCGGGUUCGCGCUGCACGUGUUAGUACCAUACAUGUUGGGAACACCGGUGGACGAGCUUGCCGACUGUGGAUAUCACUAGUUUCGACACCUACGACCGCCCGCAAACGACGGGACUACAGGCUGGGAGCUUCAAGUUGUAGAGAUGCGUUCGCAUCGAUCCUCUCAGGCGACCCAUGCUUGGUGGUUA
rnacentral:rRNA from 1 species